GGAAAACCUGCUGAAUCUUCAGCUUCAGGAUAACAGCUUUUCAGCACUCAUAUAUUCUAGGACUAGCCAGGACCAGCUUCUGCUGGUGUCCAGACUCCUCUGACUGCUGCCCUAACCAGACCCUUGCAGUGGGGUAGAGCUCGGUGUCACUGAUCCUUCACAAGCGUCAGAAGGACUGUGCCAAGGUCGUGUGAGUCUCUCUCCCUGCCUCAAGGUAAGAUCAUCUCUACCUCUGUCAUUGCUGUACUAAUCUCUUUGUAAAGACCCUUGGGGAUACAGGUUGCUCAACCUCUUCCAGGACUUCUAACAAGAAUAAUUGUAACAAGCCUAUACAGUGUGUUGGGUUUUUUUGUUUACUUUUGUUCCUUGCCUCGAUUUUUGUUUUUGUUCUGUGGUGGUUAUAGCUGAGGAAAGAUUUUCCUUCACGUUUCUAGGAGGCUGUUUGAAAAUUGCUCUCAGAUCAGUGAGGACCAACUGGGAUGGCUGAGCUCCUCUGCAGUGCAUGUGACAGAUGUGUCAGCUCUGGGCUUACUCUCUCCAAAUGGUCCAUUUCUGUCUCAAAACACAGUGGCCAAAAGCAGAGCACCAGACUUAUGAUGAAAAUCAGCCUUUAAGCAUUUUGAGACCUGCCCUAAUCAGAGUUUUGAGUGGCACCACUCCAAAGUGUGCUGGAACUGCCUGAUUUGGAGGGAAGAGAGCAGAGAUGGGAAAGAACAGGUACAUCCAAUUGAGGUAAGGCGACUACCAAACACAGGGCAGCCAGACCAGAAACAUGCAGAUUAUGUAAGCACAGCUGGGCUAAAACUUGGCAAAACAGUCCUUCUCGUCUUGUAGACUAUCCUCAAGCAAAUGAUUUUCUGUGGACCCCACUGAGCUGUGAAGAAUUGUCUGAGCAGAA
rnacentral:lncRNA from 1 species